ensembl:lncRNA
CUCUUGCAUGACAACUGAGUUAAAAUGGAAAUUAGCUUCACUCUGCCAACCACCCUACCCUUGGCCCUGACAGUGCUUAUCCUCUUGUGUCACAAGGGACAAAUGAUGUCUAAUUGGUGUUUUGAGUUUCAUAGAGCUGAGAAGAAGACAUCUGAAGGACAGUAGAUGCUUGGCCAUGGGUAUAAUUUAGGUACUGGCCAUUUGGCACCUAAAAGGACAACUGUGGAUUUUCCUGGACUACAAAUUACUGACAAGGAGAACAUUAUUCAACUCUAGUUGAUGGCUUCAAUUUAGCUUUCCCAGGGCUGAGGGAUUUGUGGAUCCCAGCCCAGGCAGAGGAAGGGGCCUGAAGCAAACCUAACUCUGCUUUCCUUCAGCUGUCUUCCCAGCUCCACCUUGCUGGAAAGGAGCUUUUGGGACAGUCUCACCACCUCCCAUUGAGCUCAAGGGUCCACGAGGCUAUCUCCAGAAUUAGCCUAGAUCAGUACAAUGUCAUGAAAAUCCUCUUUUACAACUUCGGGAGGAGGUUGAAAGUAGGUCAUCAGGUGAUUCGGCUACCAAUGAUGACUUGGAUCCUGUAAGCCAAAGAAGAUGUGACAGUGAGAUGGAGCAAGAUGUGCCACAUCGAGAAGUACAGAAUGAAGACCCCUGAUUCAGAUGAGGAAGAAAACAGUAAUAUGAGAAAACUGGGCCAGAGAGAAACACAGCAGAUUAGGGAUUGCCAAAUAGAG